rnacentral:rRNA from 1 species
GCAGCCGAAGCGAAAGCGAGUCUGAACAGGGCGUCGAGUCGGAAGGAGUAGACGCGAAACCAAGUGAUCUACCCUUGGUCAGGUUGAAGGUUAGGUAACACUAACUGGAGGACCGAACCGAUAAGCGUUGAAAAGCUUCCGGAUGAACUGAGGGUGGGGGUGAAAGGCUAAUCAAACUUGGAGAUAGCUCGUACUCCCCGAAAUGCAUUUAGGUGCAGCCUUGUGAGUUACUAAUGUGAGGUAGAGCGACUGAUAAGAUGCGAGGGCUUCACCGCCUAUCAAGUCUUGAUAAACUCCGAAUGCGCAUUAGUUCUAUCACAGGAGUGAGGGCAUGGGUGCUAAGGUCCAUGUCCUAAAGGAGAAGAAUCCAGACCAUCAGCUAAGGUCCCCAAAUAAACACUAAGUUGAACUAACGAAGUCAGAUUGCUAAGACAGCUAGGAUGUUGGCUUGGAAGCAGCCAUUCAUUUAAAGAGUGCGUAACAGCUCACUAGUCGAGGAGUUUGGCGUGGAUAAUAAUCGGGCAUUAAGUGUUUUACCGAAGCUAUGGGAUCAGUAAUGAUCGGUAGGGGAGCAUUCCACUCUGCGUCGAAGGUGAAGCGUGAGCUUUGCUGGAGCGUGUGGAAAAGCAAAUGUAGGUAUAAGUAACGAUAAAGGGGGUGAGAAACCCCCUCGCCGAAAGACUAAGGUUUCCUGAUCAACGCUAAUCGGAUCAGGGUUAGUCGGGUCCUAAGGCUCAGCCGAACGGUGAGGCCGAUGGCAGAACAGGUUAAUAUUCCUGUACUACCUUAAGGAGUGACGUGGAGACGGAGCAGUGACAGCGCCGCGGACUGACGGAAUAGUCCGUUGAAGGGUGUAGAUGUUGAUCAUCCCAGGCAAAUCCGGGAUGAGAGUCGAACCUGAUAGUAUGGAGCGUUCUUCGGAACAAUCCAAUAGUGCGUGUAAGCAUACUCCCAAGAAAAUCCGCUAAACUUAAUCCUUAAGGUACCCGUACCGCAAACGGACACACGUAGUCGGGUUGAAUAUACUAAGGCGCUUGAGUGAUUCACGGUUAAGGAACUAGGCAAAUUGACCCUGUAACUUCGGGAUAAAGGGUCCCAACGAGAGUUGGGCGCAGAGAAUAGGUCCAGGCAACUGUUUAACAAAAACACAGGGCUGUGCCAAAUUGAAAGAUUACGUAUACAGCCUGACACCUGCCCGGUGCUGGAAGGUUAAGAGGAGAUGUCAUCGCAAGAGAAGCAUUGAAUUGAAGCCCCAGUAAACGGCGGCCGUAACUAUAACGGUCCUAAGGUAGCGAAAUUCCUUGUCGGGUAAGUUCCGACCUGCACGAAUGGUGUAAUGAUCUGGACACUGUCUCAACCGUGAGCUCAGUGAAAUUGUAGUAUCGGUGAAGAUGCCGAUUACCCGCGAUGGGACGAAAAGACCCCGUGAACCUUUACUAUAGCUUAACAUUGAAUUUGGGUAAUUGAUGUGUAGGAUAGGCCGGAGACUUUGAAGCAGGUACGCCAGUAUUUGUGGAGUCGCUGUUGAAAUACGGCCCUUUGAUUAUUUGAGUUCUAACUCGUAGUUGCGAGGACACUGUUUGGUGGGUAGUUUGACUGGGGUGGUCGCCUCCAAAAUAGUAACGGAGGCUUCUAAAGGUGCCCUCAGGACGAUUGGUAACCGUCCGUAGAGUGUAAUGGCAUAAGGGCGCUUGACUGGGAGACUAACAAGUCGAUCAGGUAGGAAACUAGAGCAUAGUGAUCCGGUGUUUCCGUAUGGAAGGGACAUCGCUCAAAGGAUAAAAGGUACUCCGGGGAUAACAGGCUGAUCCCUCCCAAGAGCUCAUAUCGACGGAGGGGUUUGGCACCUCGAUGUCGGCUCGUCACAUCCUGGGGCUGGAGAAGGUCCCAAGGGUUGGGCUGUUCGCCCAUUAAAGUGGCACGCGAGCUGGGUUCAGAACGUCGUGAGACAGUUCGGUCUCUAUCUAUCGUGGGCGUAUGAAAUUUGCGUGGCUCUGACACUAGUACGAGAGGACCGUGUUGGACUGACCGCUGGUUUACCAGUUGUGCCGCCAGGUGCAUUGCUGGGUAUCUAAGUCGGGAUUGGAUAAGUGCUGAAAGCAUCUAAGUACGAAGCCAGCCACAAGAUUAGAUUUCUUAGGGUCGUUAAAGACGAUGACGUUGAUAGGAUGCAGGUGUAAAGGUGGUAACAUCAAAGCCGAGCAUUACUAAUUGCCCGUUCACUUUCUUU